AUUGAACGCUGGCGGCAGGCCUAACACAUGCAAGUCGAACGGCAGCGGGGGGAAGCUUGCUUCCCCGCCGGCGAGUGGCGGACGGGUGAGUAAUGCCUGGGGAGCUGCCCAAUCGAGGGGGAUACCAGUUGGAAACGACUGCUAAUACCGCAUACGCCUCGAGGGGGAAAGAUGGGGAUCUUCGGACCUAUCGCGAUUGGAUGCACCCAGGUGGGAUUAGCUAGUUGGUGAGGUAACGGCUCACCAAGGCGACGAUCUCUAGCUGGUCUGAGAGGAUGACCAGCCACACUGGAACUGAGACACGGUCCAGACUCCUACGGGAGGCAGCAGUGGGGAAUAUUGCACAAUGGGGGAAACCCUGAUGCAGCCAUGCCACGUGUGUGAAGAA
rnacentral:rRNA from 1 species